AACUAACGCUAUUAUUGAUACAGUUUCUGUACUUCAUUGGUAUGCGAAGCUUCCGGGGGCAGGCCGCGCCACGCGCGGUCGGGUUCUGGAAAAUUUUGGGAUGAAGGUGUUCGAGCCUUC
rnacentral:misc_RNA from 1 species